UCUCCGAGGGUCACCUUCAGUACUUGACGCUGAAGAUUGUGGAAAAGAAAACGCUCCUUAAUUAUGCUGCAAGGUCUGAGGAAAGACCUGACUUUUGCUGAGGUGCCACCUGUGCUUCCUCGGUUUACUUAGUGGCUUUGCUAAGGAUGUGUGACUGAAUGGAAGGCUUGAUGGUGAAAAAACAGGUUGUCCAGGUGCCUGGGUUGUAGCCCCGGGCUGGCUGCCAGGACACAUGGGUGAUGGGCUCUGCCGGGUCUCCUUUGGAGCAGCAGCAUGAAGGGAAUUGCAAAGACGGAGACCUCCCCCUGCCGAGGUGCGACCCUGGGCUGGGGGUGCUGCAACCUCCCCUCCCCUGUAAUUAAUUUCAGCUGUUAAUAAGAUAACUCCAAGAUCAGAUCCUGUCCCCUACGCGUGGCCACCACGCUUGUAGUCCCUGAAUCUCUUGUGAGCAUCCUCUGCGUUUCAACAUCCAAAUCUUUAACGAACCUGGCUCAGACCAGACUCCUGUGGACUCACACUCAACACCCCAUGCAGUUUUGCUCUGAUCAUGAAUCUUCAUCCAGUUUUUUGUCUGCCUCCCAGAAGCUUUACAAGAGCAGACCCCCAGCUCGAGGUCUGUAUGCCCAGAGAGAUGUGUGGUGCUCCCCAGACCUGUGCCAAGCCAUGGCCAGCAGUGACAACCCUCCUGCUCCGCUGCCUCAUCCCUGCUGCCACUGUCAGGGGCAGCGCUUGGCACUGGCAGGAACCACACUCCCUACCUCGCUUAUUUACACAAAUGGUACUUGAGAUGGUGCCAAAAACCUUACUAAAGUCAAGAGUUCCAACAUCUGCAGCUGCUCUGCUCUCAGGGAGGAGAAACU